GAUGAACGCUAGCGGCAGGCUUAACACAUGCAAGUCGAGGGGUAGAAGGAGCUUGCUCCUUUGAGACCGGCGCACGGGUGCGUAACGCGUAUGCAAUCUACCUUUUGCAGAGGAUAGCCCAGAGAAAUUUGGAUUAAUACCUCAUAGUAUGUGAGGAUGGCAUCAUUUUCACAUUAAAGUCACAACGGCAAAAGAUGAGCAUGCGUCCCAUUAGCUAGUUGGUAAGGUAACGGCUUACCAAGGCUACGAUGGGUAGGGGUCCUGGGAGGGAGAUCCCCCACACUGGUACUGAGACACGGACCAGACUCCUACGGGAGGCAGCAGUGAGGAAUAUUGGACAAUGGGCGCAAGCCUGAUCCAGCCAUGCCGCGUGCA
rnacentral:rRNA from 1 species